UACGUAGGGGGCUAGCGUUGUCCGGAUUCAUUGGGCGUAAAGAGCUCGUAGGCGGUUCGGUUAGUCAGAUGUGAAAACUCCGGGCUCAACUCGGAGAGGCCAUCUGAUACUGCCGUGACUGGAGUUCGGUAGAGGAGUGUGGAAUUCCCGGUGUAGCGGUGAAAUGCGCAGAUAUCGGGAGGAACACCAGCGGCGAAGGCGGCACUCUGGGCCGAUACUGACGCUGAGGAGCGAAAGCGUGGGGAGCGAACAGG
rnacentral:rRNA from 1 species